GCGCCUCAGCAGGAGGCAGCAGUGAUCAGCAGGAAGGCGAAGUAAGAAAAGAGGGACUCUUCUCGGGGACAAAGUCCAGAGUUUAAUGUCUCCAGGGCCAUCCAGCCGAGUCGGGACCACGAGGUGGGGGUACAGCCGAUUAUAAAGGGGGCGGAACAUACAACACUUCAACCAAUGAGGGAGAACUUGGGAGGGAACAAACUUGUGACAAACAUGCUGGCUAGCCAAUAGGGAAUGUGAUAGGGAGGGACCCUUGUUCCCGAUCCAAUCACCCACCGAGGAGGGGAGAACUUUCUGGAAAGAGGGAAGGGGACAGUGGGUGAUGGACAGGAACUCAGGGAGGUAUUGACAGAGGGUAACCAGGGGAACAGGGGUGGAGACAAUGAACUGACACUCUCAAAAGGAGGGGUUGCCAGGGGAGGAGGGGGGGGAACCCUAGGACCGAACCGUUAUAACUUUAGGGGGAAACAGAACAAACCAAAUGAACCAUGCACCACAACAAGUGUAUGUGAUCAGUCAUUAAACUCCUCUGGGAGUUCUCAGUUCAGUGUUCAUGUUCUCAUGUCACAGAUUUCAUGCACAAAGCAGACAGAAAUUAUUAUUUUUUUCCAGCUGAAAUCUCUCACAUUCCAUAUACAGUCAAAAUCAGCAAAACAGUAAGACAUACAACAGAACUUAUUUCCACCUUAGCUACAAGGAAUAUAUAUCAGGAAUAUUUAAAAUGUUUUGCAGCACAACACACACUGUUGUAGUUUCUGCACACUUUAUGGCAAUUUAGCAAGUUACAAACCCAUGAAUGUUCCUAAUCUACCCAAAACAAAUUUUUAUUUUCCAUGAACCUAAUAUAUCAUCACAGACUUUCUAUAUAUCCAGAUGAAACCUCCCACUUUCAUCCUUCUUGCAGAUUUCUAACUUCCAUGCAGAAACCUGUGUGCUUCUGCAGAUACGUCAGACAUGUUCCAUUGGUCAGCACUGAUGGCUGAAGUCUCAGGUGCAGAGAGAGGGAGAAAGGACUAUCCAGAGCCCAAGGAAUGGCAGUGCUGGAACAGAGGUGACAAGGAUGUGCAUCUCUCUCCCUGGGCUGCGCACGCAUCUUUAUUUCAUGCUCCAGUUGACCUGGAUAUGCAAGAACUAUGCACCUUCUGCUGCUUAAAAUUGAACUACACACCACAAUAUCUGCCUGAUGGGAGAAUGGCAAUAGGAGACAGGGCAAAGAGACAUGAAGAGGAUUCAAGUCCUCUGGCAGCAUUUUGUUAAACAUGUUUCUGCCUUUUUCAAAGAGGGAACAUAAGGUGUGUUCUCAGAAAUUUCCCAGUGCCCCCACCUGAGGCACUGGGAAAGGGGACUGCACUUUCUAGUAGGAAAGGUCAAUAUGAACCUGUCUGAAGAUGAAAAGUGACAGGUGUGAUCACUCAGUGUCCAGACAUGCCCAUGCAGCACCUCACAUGGAAUUAUCUGCAGCAGCCCAUGCGUGCCCAGCACACUGCAUGUGAGGGACACAGAAACCAGGGCAGCUCAGGAGCAAGAGUUUGGCCCUUCUUGUGCCACCAUGUGACAACGCACAACUGCUCUCACCCUGCCCAGAGAAUAGGUAUUAA